ACUGCCAGAGCUCUGCGAAAGCAAAUCUCUGGCCUGGCGGAGGGCCAGCUAACCCUCUCCCUCAAGCCUUCGGGAGCUUCCUGGGUUAUCGGUGAAUUUUGGGCGGUCGUUGUUGGGUGCCGCAUGUCUUUGACCCUCGCUAAGUGCGAGGGAGCCGGGUAAAACCGCACG
ensembl:snoRNA K02F6.11 ncRNA